rnacentral:rRNA from 1 species
GGAUUAGAUACCCUGGUAGUCCACGCUGUAAACGAUGAUUACUCGUUUUCGGCGAUAUACAGUCGGAGACUAAGCGAAAGUGAUAAGUAAUCCACCUGGGGAGUACGAUCGCAAGGUUGAAACUCAAAGGAAUUGACGGGGGCCCGCACAAGCGGUGGAGCAUGUGGUUUAAUUCGAUGAUACGCGAGGAACCUUACCAGGGCUUAAAUGCAGAGCGAAUAGUUUGGAAACAGACUAGCCUUCGGGCGAUCUGCAAGGUGCUGCAUGGCUGUCGUCAGCUCGUGCCG